rnacentral:rRNA from 1 species
GAUGAACGCUGGCGGCGUGCCUAAUACAUGCAAGUCGAGCGAACAGACGAGAGUGCUUGCACUCUCUGACGUUAGCGGCGGACGGGUGAGUAACACGUGGGUAACCUACCUAUAAGACUGGGAUAACUUCGGGAAACCGGAGCUAAUACCGGAUAAUAUUUAGCUUCGCAUGAAGCAAUAGUGAAAGACGGUUCUGCUGUCACUUAUAGAUGGACCCGCGGUGUAUUAGCUAGUUGGUGAGGUAACGGCUCACCAAGGCAACGAUACAUAGCCGACCUGAGAGGGUGAUCGGCCACACAGGGACUGAGACACGGCCCAGACUCCUACGGGAGGCAGCAGUAGGGAAUCUUCCGCAAUGGACGAAAGUCUGACGGAGCAAUGCCGUGUGAGUGAAGAAGGUUUUCGGAUCGUAAAACUCUGUUGUAAGGGAAGAACAAGUACGUUAGUAACUGAACGUACCUUGACGGUACCUUACCAGAAAGCCACGGCUAACUACGUG